UGGGGCGUCGUCUAACGGCAGGACUACGGUCUCUGGAUCCGUCAAUCGUGGUUCGAAUCCACGCGCCCCAGCCA
rnacentral:tRNA from 1 species